rnacentral:rRNA from 1 species
GACGAACGCUGACGGCGUGCUUAACACAUGCAAGUCGAACGGUGAAGCGCCUUCCUUUUUGGUGGGUGUGGAUGAGUGGCGAACGGGUGAGUAACACGUGAGUAACCUGCCCCCUUCUUCUGGAUAACCGCAUGAAAGUGUGGCUAAUACGGGAUAUUCUGGGUCUGUCGCAUGAUGGGUCUGGGAAAGAUAUUGUUUCGGUGGGGGAUGGGCUCGCGGCCUAUCAGCUUGUUGGUGGGGUGAUGGCCUACCAAGGCGGUGACGGGUAGCCGGCCUGAGAGGGUGGACGGUCACACUGGGACUGAGACACGGCCCAGACUCCGACGGGAGGCAGCAGUGGGGAAUAGUGCACAAUGGGCGCAAGCCUGAUGCAGCGACGCCGCGUGAGGGAUGGAGGCCUUCGGGUUGUGAACCUCUUUCGCCAGUGAAGCAGGCCUGCCUCGUUUGUGGGUGGGUUGACGGUAGCUGGAUAAGAAGCGCCGGCUAACUACGUG